AUGCAUCUCUGACAGACCUGGAGCAACUGAUGUCAGCUGCGAAGGUUUCCACUACAGAUGCAAGAAAAAAAGGUCCUCGUGUUUUCUGUGUGGUUGCAGCAACCAAGAUUGAAUGGGGGAAUACAGGA
rnacentral:snoRNA from 1 species